rfam:Alkanindiges sp. H1 contig8, whole genome shotgun sequence.
GAAGUGAGUUGGACGGUCGCUGCUGUGGAGGUCUUCGUGACUAAAGCAGGGGAGGAAAGUCCGGGCUUCAUAGGGCAUGGUGCCAGGUAACGCCUGGGCGGUGAAAGCCGACGGAAAGUGCAACAGAGAGCAGACCGCCAGCUUGCUUAGGCAGGUUGGUAAGGGUGAAAGGGUGCGGUAAGAGCGCACCGCGUGUCUGGUAACAGGUCACGGCAUGGUAAACCCCACCAGAAGCAAGACCAAAUAGGAAUCCCUUGGCGUGGCCCGCGUUGGAUUCGGGUAGGUUGCUUGAGCGUAUUGGUGACGAUACGCCUAGAGGAAUGAUCGUCCUCGACAGAACCCGGCUUAUAGACUCACUUCAAGC